CAUUUACUUUUCACAUCUUACCAUUUCUUGUUCUCACUUUAUGCUCUCAGACCUUUCUUCCCUUUCUUCCCAAUCUCACUUUAGGGUUUAGGGUCGAACCACCACCGUCGAGUCAUCCACCAUCAUGCCUUCGUUUAAUGUUUGAUCUUAUAUGUUGUUUAAUCUCAUCAUCGCCCGCCACCUCACUCGAAUCGCUUCAUUCCUUGCCAUUAAGAUCUUGAUUUUGAUUCUCCAAAACAGCCCCGCCCUAGAAGGUUGAAAAGUCGAACCAGAGGGUUGAAGAUGGAAUUUUUGGGACUUCUAAUGGCAUUGGUUUUACUAAGCAAAAUGAACUCUUCAUCGACCGUGUUGCUCGGCUUUGCUGUUAAAACAUGGAGAAAGGAGAGCUUAAAGUGAAACUCAAUUUGCUGCAGGCAAGGUGUUUGAAAGAAUGUCACAAUGAUAUAUAAAAUAUGUAAAGCUAAGUGAUUGAGGUGGUUUUGAUUUCACAUUGUUUUUGUUGACACUAAUGUUAAAAUUCAUUCUUCUAACAAAGAAUUAACAUGUUUGUUUUGAUUUUUCAGAAGCAACUUAACGUCUUCAUCCAUAGAGACAACGACUUUAAUUCUUUUUAUUGUCUCUGUUUUGCCAUUGUUGAGGUUUACUGAGUUUCAGAUGGAAGGUUUACUGAGCUUGGUAGCAACCUUGAGAUUUACUACCCAUUGUAAUAGUGAGAUUCUUUUGGUAUUAAGGUGAGCUAUUAUCCAUCAACCAUGAUGUGUUAAGGAAGGUUAGACUUGUUGACUAUUAUUCAUUAUAGGUUGAUCAACGUUGACUAAACCAGGUGAAGUAUAUCUGGAAGUGUCAAGUUUUCCUCUCUAUCGCCAACAUGCUUUGUGUCAUUUAUUUGUUGAUCAACAUUUGAAUAUGAAUAAGUUGUUUGUUUACCAAUCAAUUGUUAAAUGCAAAUGAACUAUUGUUUUUGUGUGUUCUAGAUGUCAGUUAUAACAAUUUUUUCUAUGGGGAUUUAUACAAUUGAUGAAAAUUGAAAUUCUUAAAUAGAAAAUAGUAUUUGAUGAAAAUUAUUUAUUGAAGUAAAUUAGUACUUUCUUUAAGCUAUCGUCUUUCUCACGGUUUAUUUUUUGGCUUAUUGUACAUUAGUAAGUAGUUUGCAUUUAUGGUGCUUUUAACUUCUCAAUGACAUCACUUUAUGAAUCGUUAUGGCCUUAGAUGUUUACUAUUGACUUGGUUGUUUGAAUUCGUUCUAUUUUCUGGUUAUGUAUCUUUACCAGUAUAACAUAAUUUCACACACGGACUCUAAUAAUGUUGGCUCAAUUGUUGGAGAGGACUCUAUCACUUGGUGAUUUGAAUGAAAUUGUCUAUGGUAAAGUAUCUGGUACUAGUAUUAAUGUAUUUUGUGGUGCCAGCUUUACGAUUACUGAAUCUAGUUUUUCUUCUGAUUCUAUGAAAGAUUUAUCUUCUAAAUAGGGGCUUAUAUCUGUAAGAUAUCAACACUUAGAAAAGAGAAACAAGUUUUGCUUUCAUAACCUUACUGUAGAUGGGUGAUGUUUUAACAAUUGACUAGGUUUUUUGGGAUUGAUGAAAAUUUUUAAACCAUCUUCUGCAUCAUUCUCAUAUAUGGAAGCAUAUGUUAAUAUAUUUUAGCCUUUAUCAUUUUGCUAUGUGUAUCUUGUUCUGGCUUUUGGAUCUUUUUAUACAAAAUUUCAUCCCAGCAAGUUGUAUGAACGCUGGAACAAUUUGAUUCUCCAUUUCCUGUUCUAGACAGUUUUUUUUUUUUAACUUUUGCGUUUGGUUGUAUUUAUUUAUGAUGAUUAGAGUUUUUGACGACAUAAGAAAUAGUAAUGUCUGUAGCCUGCCCAAGUGAAUCAACCCAUUUAAUAAAUGUGUGUUUUUGGCUUAUGUUCAAGUGGGUUAUAUAUUUAAUGUUUUACAUGAACUUUUGCAAUUCUCGGCUGAAUUUUUAUAGGUAGAAGAUCUAUUUCAUUUUCACUAUGGCAAUAGAAACGUUGAAGAUCUACAAGUUGCUGCUUUGGGGUGUUUCUUUAUAAGCCAAACUUUUGAGCAGGAAGUUGCAUUACUUUAGAGAGAGGUAUAUUUACAGCAUCAGAUGCGUAAGAAUUAUGAUUGUGAACAUAGAGAAGAAUGAUUGAAGUCAUAUCAGAUUGAAAGCUACGUGAUUGUAUAGAUAGCCGAACUAUCGUUGAAGAUUGAGAAGGCGUUAAGGAUUUCUUAUAUAAGUCAUUAAGAUCUUGUUUCAUGUACUGUUGUAGAAUGUAUAUAUAAACCCAAUAUUGAAAUUUCAUUUUGUGUAUAUAAAUGUAAAAGACAAAUAUUAUUGUUUCUAAAAUAAUAUUAAUUUUAUUGA